GGGAGACACGCAUGCGCAAGGCUUGAAUGGAGUGGGGGUUGGAGGGUCGGGAAGAGAAGGGCUCGCAUGCAUAUUUACGAACGCAAAGUUGCUAGAAGUUGGCACCAGAGGUUGGGAGGGAGAGAUGGCGCUCAUGCGUAUUUGAGACAUCUUGAUGGGGAGAAUGGUGAUGUCACAUGCAAUCAGAAACUAUGCCACUGGUGAAGAGAUAUAUUGAGCCCUGCCUGGUUAACCUCCAGUGAGGUUAUUAGAGAAUUGGGAGAGGCUCAAAUCAGCAUCCUGCACAUAGUCAUCAAACCAUUGUGAAGUCUUGACUGGAUUGUGAAGGAUAUUUGAAAAGUAUUUUAAAGUCUACCAGAACCUCCAUGUGAGUGACCAUGCAGCAAAAGAGUGAGGGUCCUUUCAGUGAUUAAGGUAACAUAGUGAUUAAGGUAAGGUAGUGGGACUGUGCUAUGUCAAACCCUAAAUUUGGCUUUCAGGAUGAGGAAGUAUUAAUUCUUCCACUGAUAUCUCAAAAGGUGAUCUGGACAAAGGAACAGGUAUCUCAGUCAGGUAAGUGAUGGUUGAAUAUAAAAGUAAAUAUUAUUCUUUGACCUUUUUGUUGUAUUUGUUAUGUUUAAUAGCUUUCCUAAUAAUGAACCAACCUUGUAUUUUUUUUUGAGACGGACUUUUUUUUUUUGGAGAUGGAGUCUCGCUCUGUCGCCUAGGCUGGAGUGCAGUGGCGCGAUCUCGGCUCACUGCA